AUCUCUGGUGAUGAUCAAAACAAUACUUUCGUUCUUCUGAGAUUUCAGAUGAGGAAGAAAUUUGGAGACCUGAACUGAAGAGAU